GACAGAGGUGCCGAGCGUUAGGCGGAAUCACUGGGCUUAAAGCGUGUGUAGGCGGGUCGUUAAGUGUCUUGUGAAAUCCCACCGCUCAACGGUGGAACUGCUGGGCAUACUGGCGAUCUUGAGCCACCUAGGGGCAGACGGAACAAGCGGUGGAGCGGUGAAAUGCGUAGAUAUCGCUUGGAACGCCGACGGUGAAAACAGUCUGCUGGGGGUGUGCUGACGCUGAGACACGAAAGCCAGGGGAGGCAAACGGG
rnacentral:rRNA from 1 species